GACGAACGCUGGCGGCGUGCUUAACACAUGCAAGUCGAACGGAAAGGCCCUGCUUUUGUGGGGUGCUCGAGUGGCGAACGGGUGAGUAACACGUGAGUAACCUGCCCUUGACUUUGGGAUAACUUCAGGAAACUGGGGCUAAUACCGGAUAGGAGCUCCUGCUGCAUGGUGGGGGGUGGAAAGUUUCGGCGGUUGGGGAUGGACUCGCGGCUUAUCAGCUUGUUGGUGGGGUAGUGGCUUACCAAGGCUUUGACGGGUAGCCGGCCUGAGAGGGUGACCGGCCACAUUGGGACUGAGAUACGGCCCAGACUCCUACGGGAGGCAGCAGUGGGGAAUAUUGUACAAUGGGCGGAAGCCUGAUGCAGCAACGCCGCGUGCGGGAUGACGGCCUUCGGGUUGUAAACCGCUUUCGCCUGUGACGAAGCGUGAGUGACGGUAAUGGGUAAAGAAGCACCGGCUAACUACGUG
rnacentral:rRNA from 1 species